GUCCUGCUAAGUGUUUACUCCAGCCAGGCAGGCUCUCCUCCUCUCUCAACAAGCCUGGACUCAGAGCAGUCCUUCACUCCCGAUCACAUCUGUCAGCCAGACACAUCCUGACUCUGACUUCGCUCCACUGCUAACUGCUGCUCAAGCUGCUCCAUCACAGGACAUCCCCAAGGAGUUCCCUGACCCACCUCUAGCCUCUCCAUUACUUCACGCGGCAGAGGCAGUCUUGGUGGUGGUGGCAGGGUAGAGCGGAAGUAACCGAGGUGAUGACCCGGAAGCGACAGUGCUGCCUCUGACAGUGGUUCUAGAAGUUUCGGUGUUCGUGAUGGGGAUGGAGUAAGGUCUACUAUGUUCCCCUCCUGGACCUCUGGAGGCCAUCCCCUGCCACCUGAAGCACGUAUCAUCUGACCCAGAAACGGCGGAGGCCCCCCCCGAGAGAAAGUGGGACGAGGCCAGGCUUGCGAGACAGAGGAUGCAGUGCUGGAAUCCCAGCUGUUAGAAAACAAACUUGGGUCUGAACCUCACCAAAGAAUGGGAAUCAUAAUUCUUCUUGGCAGGAUCAUUGUAAGCUUCCAGUGGCUCAAGGCGUUCCCUGGCUUGGAGCUCCAACCUCAGCGCCUGUCUUCAUGUGGCUCUUCUUCACAUGGCCUUCUCCCCUGGGUUUCUCUUCAGAGAAGAGAUCUGAAUGUUCGACGAGUGCUGAAGUUUCGGUGUUGGCAUGGCUGGUGCUGGCCGUGGUGCUGUGGUCUCGUUGGAGAUGAACCGUGACAUCAGAGCGCAUCCCUGCCCUGUCUGUCUGGACCCAGAGAUGUCACCGUUCCUGGUUCUUUGUUACCGCUUAAUUGGUGUUGAUUGGAAACUUUUCCUGAAAUGGGGCAGAGCUGCUUCAGUUGUCUUUUCCAUGUAACUUAAGCAUAGCAGUAUAAAUAAAAUAAUA